rnacentral:miRNA from 1 species
UCACCGGGUUUUCACACUUGCCAA